GACGAACCGAGCGAACGUUGUUCGGAAUCACUGGGCUUAAAGGGCGCGUAGGCGGGUGCUCAAGUCCGGGGUGAAAUCCUCCAGCUCAACUGGAGAACUGCCUCGGAUACUGGGUGCCUCGAGGGUGGUAGGGGUAUGCGGAACUAUCGGUGGAGCGGUGAAAUGCGUUGAUAUCGAUAGGAACUCCGGUGGCGAAGGCGGCAUACUGGACCAUAACUGACGCUGAGGCGCGAAAGCUAGGGGAGCAAACGGG
rnacentral:rRNA from 1 species